rnacentral:rRNA from 1 species
UCCCAGACUCCUACGGGAGGCAGCAGUGAGGAAUAUUGGUCAAUGGACGAAAGUCUGAACCAGCCAUGCCGCGUGCAGGAAGACGGCUCUAUGAGUUGUAAACUGCUUUUGUACAAGGGUAAACCUGAAUACGUGUAUUCAGCUGAAAGUACUGUACGAAUAAGGAUCGGCUAACUCCGUGCCAGCAGCCGCGGUAAUACGGAGGAUCCAAGCGUUAUCCGGAUUUAUUGGGUUUAAAGGGUGCGUAGGCGGAUUGAUAAGUUAGAGGUGAAAUGUCCGGGCUCAACUCGGGAACUGCCUCUAAUACUGUUGAUCUAGAGAGUAGAUGCGGUAGGCGGAAUGUAUGGUGUAGCGGUGAAAUGCAUAGAUAUUACACAGAACACCGAUUGCGAAGGCAGCUUGCUAGGCCGGAUCUGACACUGAUGCACGAAAGCGUGGGGAUCGAACAGGAUUAGAUACCCGAGUA